rnacentral:tRNA from 4 species
GGCCCCAUCGUCUAGUGGACUAGGACGUCGGGCUUUCAUCCCGAAAAUCCUGGGUUCGAAUCCCAGUGGGGUCACCC